AAAACCAUGUGGAAUUGCUUGCUAAAUCUAUUAAGAAACAAGAUGAAAUCAAAUCAAAUUGUAAAAGAAGUUGGCUGAACGCAUCGAAGAAUAGGAAAAGAGAAAGGAAUAACAAGAGAAAACGAGAAAAGCAAACAUUAAGAAAAAGAAAACUGAAAAGAAAGAACAUAAACCGAAUGAACACCUCACACUUAACAGGGAAAAAGCUGGAAUUGUCUGAUAGGACAACGAAAAUCAAACUUAAACGGAAGUUAGAGGGAAUGAACAAGAAAUUAAAAAGGAAAAGUAAGAAGAAAAGGUCCUGAAUUGCCAAACAUGCUUGAGCCACCAAGGCAGCUUCUGUGUCAUCAACCUCUGGUCUUUCAGAGUUUGUUAAAACAGAAAUUCCUAAACCAAGACUAGCAAGUACACUGCCAACACCAAUUUUUAACAGUGAAGGCUGCCUAGUUUCCAGCAAAUGCGAUUUUGGAGAACUAUCUAAUUCCUCACCCAUUCUGAAAAAGACCACUUUAUAUCCAGAAGUGGCAACGAUUAAAAUGAAAGAAAAUAAAACUUAAACCAAAAAUGAAAAUCUUGGUAGGCCAAGCUGAAGUUCAAAUGCAAGAAGUAUUGAAGAGAAACAGGCAUGAAAUGGUGCUCUGCAAAUAGCUGAAGGUUUUCAGGUAAAAGACUAUGUGGAAUUGCUUGCCAAAUCAAUUAAUGAACGAGAUCAAAUCAGAAAGUAACAUAAAUUGCGCUGAACGAAACGAAGAAAAGGAAAAGAGAAAACAAUAACUACAGAAAAAAAGACAAACCAACAUUAAGAAAAAUUAAACUGAAAAGAAAGAACAUUAAGUGAAUAAACCAAAGAAAAACAGGCAAAUUUAUCGUAUGAAAUAAUGAUACUGUCUCAUGGACGAGCUAAACUCGUGUUCUUUCAUGUGCAAGCCAUGUCGUGAUAGUUUUUUUAACAAUACACUAGCAUGCUUUCCAUGACCGUGGAAAAUUUAA